ensembl:snoRNA
UGGCUUAAUGAUGACAUCAUCAUCAUUUGAAUCAUUUGGCUAGUGGCAUUUGAACCAUCCAUGAUGACUAUACGUCUGAAACGCCAAGAUUCAA